UUCAGGUUGCUGUGCACUAUUGUACACGAUGAGGGCUUGCUGUCGAAUGAGACAAUCGGCAGCUUACCUAUUUUAUUUGUGCGUUACUAUCGAGCAACUUAUUCAAAUAUAAUUAGCGUACAUAUCGAUACUUAAAACAAAGUGGCAACUCCGCAUGCGAUGAACGAGAAUUCAUCGCAUGCAUCGAAAGUGAUCGACUGCAGUGUAUUGCAGUCUGGCAAUAUUUUCUUACAAAUAAAUUAUACAUGAUACAUUGUAUUGUGUUUUAACACCAGUUACUAAUUAAUUAAUGAUUCUUUUCUUUCCAGGGGACUCUGGUGAAUUCGCAAGCGGGCGUGCCUUUCGAUGUGCGAGUUGCCUCCAGUUAUGUCCGGGUCGCCACUCGCUAACUGGAUACUGCUGCAGCGUCGGUUGCCGUUGGCCAUAUGUCGCGUGCCGUAGUGGACUUUGCAAGGAAUGCGGCCCAAUUUGCAGCUGUUCCUGGUCUGUGGUUGGAAAAUGCCUGUGUUGUUGCUGCUGUGCUGACUGAGGGGACCGCUUGCGCUUGGUGCCUGUCGGAGUUUGUUGUUGUAGCUUAGUGUGCUCACUGAUCCCUUGCUGCCUAUGUCGGUGAUGCCGUGGCGGCGGUGAUCGGAUUGGUUGUGCAGGUAUUGCUGGCUGUUGCUGAAUGAUCCCCGGCUGUCCUGGUCGUUGUUGCCCUGGCUGAGGGAAACUCAUUGGCGGACUUUGUUGUUGUUUUUGCCGUGGCUUGCGGAGCAGCUCUGCUGAGACUUGUUGCUGCUGUUCAAUGAUCUCUUGCUGCCUUUGUCGUUGAUACCGUGGCGGAAGAGAUUUAAUUGGUUGUGCAGGGAUGAUUCGCUGUGUCGUUGUUGAUGAGGGUUCUGCCCGGCUCUGCUGCUGCCGCUCCAUACUCCGCAACUGUGCAAAACUUCGUACAGUUGUUCGCUUAGCAAUCACUUGCUGCCUUUGUUUUUGACGUCGUGGCAGGGGCGACCGAAUUGGAUUUGCAGAAUUAACUAGCUGCAUUUUUGCUGGUAGGCCUUCUGCCUGGCUCUGUUGCUGUUGCUCAGUGUUCCCCGGCUGCCUUUGUCGUUUGUGUCUUGGCAGAGAGAAACUCAUUUGCUGGCUUUGUUGUUGCUGUUGGCUUGAAUGGAGGAGCUCCUCUGUUGAGGCUAGUUGCUGCUGUUCAAUGAUAUCUUGCUGCCUUUGUCGUUGGUGCCAUGGCGGAAGAGAUUGAAUUGAUUGUACAGAAAUAACUCGCUGUGACGCUGAUGAUGGGCCAUCCGCCCGGAUCUGCUGCAACUGCUCAGUGUUCCCCGGCUGCUCUUGUCGUUGUUGUCCUGGCUGAGGGAAACUCAUUGGCUGGCUUUGAUGUUGCUGUUGCCAUGGCUGGAGGAGCUGCUCUGGCAGCUUUUGCCGUUGAUGCCGUGGCAAAGGUGAUUGAAUUGGUAG